GGUAUGUCUAAGAUUGGAUCCAAUCGAGAGCCUGGUACUUAAGCAGCCUUCAUGGCUCACCUCCUCUGUUUCGGAUACCUACUUGGUGCACAGCUUCCAUUCACUUUGUUAACUUUGCAAAAGACGAUCUUUUAAAACACUAAUACGAGUCGUGGGUUUUUAAAACUUCAAUGUGACACGUCGGAUUCAAUCAUAACGUCUGGGCCGAGUUUGGAGUGUUACAUGGUAUGAUAAUUUACAUGAUAUACACGGUAUAAUUGGUGCUAAAUUUAGAAUGAAAUG
rnacentral:lncRNA from 1 species